rnacentral:rRNA from 1 species
CGAUUCCCUUAGUAGCGGCGAGCGAAACGGGAAGAGCCCAAACCAACAAGCUUGCUUGUUGGGGUUGUAGGACACUCUAUACGGAGUUACAAAGGACGACAUUAGACGAAUCAUCUGGAAAGAUGAAUCAAAGAAGGUAAUAAUCCUGUAGUCGAAAAUGUUGUCUCUCUUGAGUGGAUCCUGAGUACGACGGAGCACGUGAAAUUCCGUCGGAAUCUGGGAGGACCAUCUCCUAAGGCUAAAUACUCUCUAGUGACCGAUAGUGAACCAGUACCGUGAGGGAAAGGUGAAAAGCACCCCGGAAGGGGAGUGAAAUAGAACCUGAAACCGUGUGCUUACAAGUAGUCAGAGCCCGUUAAUGGGUGAUGGCGUGCCUUUUGUAGAAUGAACCGGCGAGUUACGAUUUGAUGCAAGGUUAAGCAGUAAAUGUGGAGCCGUAGCGAAAGCGAGUCUGAAUAGGGCGUUUAGUAUUUGGUCGUAGACCCGAAACCAGGUGAUCUACCCUUGGUCAGGUUGAAGUUCAGGUAACACUGAAUGGAGGACCGAACCGACUUACGUUGAAAAGUGAGCGGAUGAACUGAGGGUAGCGGAGAAAUUCCAAUCGAACCUGGAGAUAGCUGGUUCUCUCCGAAAUAGCUUUAGGGCUAGCCUCAAGUGAUGAUUAUUGGAGGUAGAGCACUGUUUGGACGAGGGGCCCCUCUCGGGUUACCGAAUUCAGACAAACUCCGAAUGCCAAUUAAUUUAACUUGGGAGUCAGAACAUGGGUGAUAAGGUCCGUGUUCGAAAGGGAAACAGCCCAGACCACCAGCUAAGGUCCCAAAAUAUAUGUUAAGUGGAAAAGGAUGUGGCGUUGCCCAGACAACUAGGAUGUUGGCUUAGAAGCAGCCAUCAUUUAAAGAGUGCGUAAUAGCUCACUAGUCGAGUGACACUGCGCCGAAAAUGUACCGGGGCUAAACAUAUUACCGAAGCUGUGGAUUGUCCUUUGGACAAUGGUAGGAGAGCGUUCUAAGGGCGUUGAAGCAUGAUCGUAAGGACAUGUGGAGCGCUUAGAAGUGAGAAUGCCGGUGUGAGUAGCGAAAGACGGGUGAGAAUCCCGUCCACCGAUUGACUAAGGUUUCCAGAGGAAGGCUCGUCCGCUCUGGGUUAGUCGGGUCCUAAGCUGAGGCCGACAGGCGUAGGCGAUGGAUAACAGGUUGAUAUUCCUGUACCACCUAUAAUCGUUUUAAUCGAUGGGGGGACGCAGUAGGAUAGGCGAAGCGUGCGAUUGGAUUGCACGUCUAAGCAGUAAGGCUGAGUAUUAGGCAAAUCCGGUACUCGUUAAGGCUGAGCUGUGAUGGGGAGAAGACAUUGUGUCUUCGAGUCGUUGAUUUCACACUGCCGAGAAAAGCCUCUAGAUAGAAAAUAGGUGCCCGUACCGCAAACCGACACAGGUAGUCAAGAUGAGAAUUCUAAGGUGAGCGAGCGAACUCUCGUUAAGGAACUCGGCAAAAUGACCCCGUAACUUCGGGAGAAGGGGUGCUCUUUAGGGUUAACGCCCAGAAGAGCCGCAGUGAAUAGGCCCAAGCGACUGUUUAUCAAAAACACAGGUCUCUGCUAAACCGUAAGGUGAUGUAUAGGGGCUGACGCCUGCCCGGUGCUGGAAGGUUAAGAGGAGUGGUUAGCUUCUGCGAAGCUACGAAUCGAAGCCCCAGUAAACGGCGGCCGUAACUAUAACGGUCCUAAGGUAGCGAAAUUCCUUGUCGGGUAAGUUCCGACCCGCACGAAAGGCGUAACGAUUUGGGCACUGUCUCAACGAGAGACUCGGUGAAAUCAUAGUACCUGUGAAGAUGCAGGUUACCCGCGACAGGACGGAAAGACCCCGUGGAGCUUUACUGUAGCCUGAUAUUGAAAUUCGGCACAGCUUGUACAGGAUAGGUAGGAGCCUUUGAAACGUGAGCGCUAGCUUACGUGGAGGCGCUGGUGGGAUACUACCCUAGCUGUGUUGGCUUUCUAACCCGCACCACUUAUCGUGGUGGGAGACAGUGUCAGGCGGGCAGUUUGACUGGGGCGGUCGCCUCCUAAAAGGUAACGGAGGCGCUCAAAGGUUCCCUCAGAAUGGUUGGAAAUCAUUCAUAGAGUGUAAAGGCAUAAGGGAGCUUGACUGCGAGACCUACAAGUCGAGCAGGGUCGAAAGACGGACUUAGUGAUCCGGUGGUUCCGCAUGGAAGGGCCAUCGCUCAACGGAUAAAAGCUACCCCGGGGAUAACAGGCUUAUCUCCCCCAAGAGUUCACAUCGACGGGGAGGUUUGGCACCUCGAUGUCGGCUCAUCGCAUCCUGGGGCUGUAGUCGGUCCCAAGGGUUGGGCUGUUCGCCCAUUAAAGCGGUACGCGAGCUGGGUUCAGAACGUCGUGAGACAGUUCGGUCCCUAUCCGUCGUGGGCGUAGGAAAUUUGAGAGGAGCUGUCCUUAGUACGAGAGGACCGGGAUGGACAUACCUCUGGUGUACCAGUUGUCGUGCCAACGGCAUAGCUGGGUAGCUAUGUGUGGACGGGAUAAGUGCUGAAAGCAUCUAAGCAUGAAGCCCCCCUCAAGAUGAGAUUUCCCAACUUCGGUUAUAAGAUCCCUCAAAGAUGAUGAGGUUAAUAGGUUCGAGGUGGAAGCAUGGUGACAUGUGGAGCUGACGAAUACUAAUCGAUCGAAGACUUAAUCAA